UCCGGGGUCGUCUAAUGGCAGGACAGAAGAUUUUGAUUCUUCUUAUUGGGGUUCGAAUCCCUGCCCCGGAG
rnacentral:tRNA from 1 species